AUGCUCUGGGCUCCCUUCAUUGUCCUACUGGGGACGUGGUGCACAGGUUCCAGCUCACAGCCUGUGCUGACUCAGCCGCACUCAAUGUCAGUGUCCCCAGGAAACACUGUGAAACUCUCCUGCACCAUGAGCAGUGGGACCAGCAUCGGUAGCUACACUGUGUAUUGGUACCAGCAGAAACCUGGGAAUUCCCCACGAUACCUGCUGUAUUACUAUUCGGAUUCCAGCAAGGGCCAGGGCUCUGGGGUCCCUGCUCGCUUCUCUGGUUCCAAAGACACGUCCAGUAACGCCGGCUAUCUGACCAUCUCCGGGGCACUGGCAGAGGAUGAGGCUGAUUAUUACUGUGCUGUGGGGUACAACAAUGCUUGUCCCAGUGACAUAAUCAGAUGGGGAAGCCCCACGACUCACAGUGACCAACAGGCUCCUCGCCACCUUCAAAUGGUGCUGGCCUGA